AGUCGCGCGAGAAAGCCCCUUCGGGGGUGAGUAAAGCGGCGGACGGGUGAGUAACGCGUGGACAACCUACCCUGGGGUUGGGGAUAACCCUGCGAAGGCGGGGCUAAUACCGAAUACGCUGUACAUUCCCUGGUUGUUAAUGGCUUCGAGGGUAUGUAUGGGAAAGGUGGCCUCUGUUGCAAGCUACCGCCCUGGGAUGGGUCCGCGUCCCAUUAGCUAGUCGGUGGGGUAACGGCCUACCGAGGCGACGAUGGGUAGCCGGCCUGAGAGGGUGAUCGGCCACACUGGGACUGGAACACGGCCCAGACUCCUACGGGAGGCAGCAGUGGGGAAUCUUGGGCAAUGGGCGCAAGCCUGACCCAGCAACGCCGCGUGUGGGAAGAAGGCCUUCGGGUCGUAAACCACUGUCAGGAGGGAAGAAAAGCAGAUGUCGAACAGGCAUCUGUCUUGACGGUACCUCCAGAGGAAGCGCCGGCCAACUCCGUGCCAGCAGCCGCGGUAAUACGGAGGGCGCAAGCGUUAUUCGGAAUCACUGGGCGUAAAGCGCGCGUAGGCGGCUACGCAAGUCAGGUGUGAAAGCCCUCGGCUUAACCGGGGAAUUGCAUCUGAAACUGCGUAGCUAGAGUUCGGGAGAGGGCGGCGGAAUUCCCGGUGUAGGGGUGAAAUCCGUAGAUAUCGGGAGGAACACCAGAGGCGAAGGCGGCCGCCUGGACCGAAACUGACGCUGAGGCGCGAAAGCGUGGGUAGCAAACAGGAUUAGAUACCCUGGUA
rnacentral:rRNA from 1 species